GGUGUGCUUUUUGUACCUUUAAGGCGACGAGCCAGCUCCCGGGCAAACAGCACGUUGGCGAGCUUGCUCUGGCAGUACGCCAGUCCGCUGUUGUAGCUGCCCUGGCUGUGGAGGUCGUGGAGGCGGAUCCAGCCAAAGUUGUGCGCCAGGGACGACACCACCACGAUCCUGGACGGAGCGCUGCGCUUUAACAGGCCAAUGAGGAGGGAGGUCAACAGGAAGUGACCUGGCAGGAAUUGCUGCGCAAAGGACCGUAUGGAGCACGUGUCGGCCAGGUCCAGCCCCCGCACCUCCACGCGUGCUUUGGGAUACGAGAACCUGAUGCUGGCGGCCGCCUCCUCGCCUUUGUCCACGUCCCGACACGCCAUGAUCACCUGCGCUCCUGUGAGUCACCUCGGGUUGCCAGGUCCAGAGCCGUCUCCUUGCCGAUGCCGGUGUUGGCCCCGGUGAUGAGGACCGUCUUCCCGUCCAGGCGAGCCAGCGACUUACACGUUCCUCCUGCUGCAUAUCUUCUGUUGAAAAGAUGGUAACCAUGACAACAAGGCCAGGGGGAUCCUGAUGGGAGUGCAGAAAUAUGACCAUAUCACACCAACUCUCAAAUCCCUUCACUGGCUUCCUGUUCCACUCAGGAUUGAAUUCAAAGUCUCCCUACUAACCCACCAGUGCCUCCAUGAAAAUGCCCCCCUCUACCUCAAAGAACUACUCACCCCCAAAUCCUCCACACGACACCUCUGCUUCGGACAGGCUAACCUCCUCCAACCUCUGAGGACAAAGCUACGAACAAUGGGAGACCGGGCUUUCUUCUCCGCGGCUCCCAGUCUGUGGAACACUCUCCCUGACCACCUGAGGGCACCACAGACUGUGGAUGCUUUUAAAAAAGGCUUAAAAACCCUUCUUUUUAAAAAAAACAAAAAAAAAAGCCUU